rnacentral:rRNA from 1 species
UACAGAGGGUGCGAGCGUUGUCCGGAAUCACUGGGCGUAAAGGGCGCGUAGGUGGCCUGGUAAGUAGGGGGUGAAAUCUCGAGGCUCAACUUCGAGGCUGCCUCCUAAACUGUCAGGCUUGAGCAGAGUAGAGGCAGGUGGAAUUCCCGGUGUAGCGGUGGAAUGCGUAGAGAUCGGGAUGAACACCAGAGGCGAAAGCGGCGACCUGGACAGGUACUGACACUCAACUACGAAAGCGUGGGGAGCAAACAGG